UACGUAGGGAGCAAGCGUUGUCCGGAAUUAUUGGGCGUAAAGAGCGUGUAGGCGGUCCGGUAAGUCAGCUGUGAAAGUCAAGGGCUCAACCCUUGAAUGCCGGUUGAUACUGUCGGGCUAGAGUCCGGAAGAGGCGAGUGGAAUUCCCGGUGUAGCGGUGAAAUGCGCAGAUAUCGGGAGGAACACCAGUGGCGAAGGCGACUACCUGGCCUGUUCUUGACGCUGAGGCGCGAAAGCUAGGGGAGCAAACGGG
rnacentral:rRNA from 1 species